rnacentral:rRNA from 1 species
UUUACUGUACCUUAGUUGCUUCGGCGGGCCCGCCAUUCAUGGCCGCCGGGGGCUCUCAGCCCCGGGCCCGCGCCCGCCGGAGACACCACGAACUCUGUCUGAUCUAGUGAAGUCUGAGUUGAUUGUAUCGCAAUCAGUUAAAACUUUCAACAAUGGAUCUCUUGGUUCCGGCAUCGAUGAAGAACGCAGCGAAAUGCGAUAACUAGUGUGAAUUGCAGAAUUCCGUGAAUCAUCGAGUCUUUGAACGCACAUUGCGCCCCCUGGUAUUCCGGGGGGCAUGCCUGUCCGAGCGUCAUUGCUGCCCAUCAAGCACGGCUUGUGUGUUGGGUCGUCGUCCCCUCUCCGGGGGGGACGGGCCCCAAAGGCAGCGGCGGCACCGCGUCCGAUCCUCGAGCGUAUGGGGCUUUGUCACCCGCUCUGUAGGCCCGGCCGGCGCUUGCCGAACGCAAAUCAAUCUUUUUCCAGGUUGACCUCGGAUCAGGUAGGGAUACCCGCUGAACUUAAGCAUAUCAAUA